UUAACGUUUAGCUGGAGCCUCUCAGAGCUGCUGGCCGGACUGAGAACCACACGACGUCUCUGUGGGGGCCAACAGCACGAGCUGAUCUCAGGUACAAGCUCACCUGGAGGUUCAGCUCCACUUCCAAUGUAAGUUAACGACACCUGUGACAUCAUCACCUUCUCUGAACAGGGAACGUGGCCUUUGUGUGUGACAGUGAUGUUCCUCAUUGUUCUGUUUCACCGAGAACCUGGAGAACACAACACACCACAAAACACAAGGCAGCAGCUGCUCUCUCAUCACCACAUCAGUUUAUUUACCAGCCCGACACCCGAACGCUCGGCCGGCCGGCAGAGGAGCUCAGAUCGCAGCCCACAGCGAGGCAGAGGGGCUUCACCGUCCAAACCGAUCCACGCUCACAGUCUCAGACAGACGCUUUAGGACACCAGCUGAGACAGCAGGAGGAGUCGGUGUUUCUUCUUCUCUCCUGUUAGUCGUGCUGGGGUUCCCGACCCUCGGGCUGGGUGAGGGGAGAGGCCACACAGGCGCAGAGUCAAACACAAAGCAUUGUGGGAGUUUUACUGGCCGGACGAGUGAAGCUGCCGAUGGACGGACAGGAGCCCUGCAGGGUCAAACAGACCGGAACAACCCGACUGACAGGAUGCUGUCUGGUGUUUGUGUUACAUCUGUUUCACUGAGCAGCAGCUUCAGGAUGGCAGUCAGGACCCAGUGAACCCAGAACCCAGUGCAGGACUGGGACGUGGACCAGUUUGUUCCUCUGCUGCAGCCAAACUGACAAAAACUGAACUGAGAUCUGAAGCUGAACUUGAAGUCUGAAACUUUAUUGACUCCAGCUGAACUGAACAAGCUGGAAACACUGCAGAGGCCUGCUGCAUGCCUGUGUGUGUGUGUGUGUGUGUGUGUGUGAGAGAGAAACAUGCCAACACAGCAGAA